rnacentral:misc_RNA from 1 species
CUAUUUACGGAGGAAGGAAAAGAAAGGAAAGGAAAAAAGAAAAGAAAAGAAGGGGAGAGGAAAGAAAGUAAGGAAAAAGAACAAGGAUAAUGAGAAUAGAAAGGAAAGAAGAGGAAUAGAAAAUCUGUUGAAAAUAAUUACUACUUUGUACGUCCAUGGAAAUGCAAGAUCCGCAAUACAAACACAACCUUAAGGCCAAUUCCAAUUUCGAUCCAAAUCCUCAAAAUGCAGAUCUUAAAAAUCCACUCUCCA